rnacentral:rRNA from 1 species
GACGAACCGAGCGAACGUUAUUCGGAAUCACUGGGCUUAAAGGGCGCGUAGGCGGGCCAUCAAGUCAGGGGUGAAAGCCCCCGGCUCAACUGGGGAGGGUCACUCGAUACUGAUCGACUUGAAGGCAGGAGAGGGAAGCGGAAUUCCCGGUGUAGUGGUGAAAUGCGUAGAUAUCGGGAGGAACACCAGUGGCGAAGGCGGCUUCCUGGCCUGCUCUUGACGCUGAGGCGCGAAAGCUAGGGUAGCAAACGGG